ACAAAUUGAAAAAGAAGUUUAAUAUUAAACUCAAUAAUAGAAAAGUGAAUACAAAUCACACAAGUUGAACAGUGUUAGCCUUGAGGGUUCGUCACCCUCGAGUUAGAAAGUGCCUCAAUCGACGUCAGAAUAGAAUAACAAGAUAAUGAGAACUAAAAAUAACGGUGUAUUGUCUUUUGAUGUGUGUUACAAUGUGUCUAACAAAUUAUC
rnacentral:lncRNA from 1 species